rnacentral:rRNA from 1 species
UAUCUCUGUAGAGUCUGCAUAUCAAUAAGCGGAGGAAAAGAAACUAACAAGGAUUCCCUUAGUAACGGCGAGUGAAGCGGGAAGAGCUCAAAUUUGAAGUCUUCAAGGUUCUACCUUGACGAAUUGUAGUUUAAAGAAGUGUUUUCGGUUAGAGGAGUAGUAAAAGUUCUUUGGAAUAGGACAUCAUAGAGGGUGAGAAUCCCGUAUUUGACUAUUCUUUCUAGCUUUGUGAUACACUUUCAACGAGUCGGAUUGUUUGGGAAUGCAGUCCAAAAUGGGUGGUAAAUUUCAUCUAAAGCUAAAUAUUGGCGAGAGACCGAUAGCGAACAAGUACCGUGAGGGAAAGAUGAAAAGAACUUUGAAAAGAGAGUUAAACAGUACGUGAAAUUGUCAAAAGGGAAGCGUUUGACACCAGUGUUGUUUUUCCGAAAAUCAAUUACGAAUGUUUUGUUUUUGAGAAGUUAUGACUUCAUCGGCUUGCUUCUUUCUUUACGAAACUUUCUUAAUGCACUUUUCGGUUAACAAGUCAACAUCAAUUUCUUUUGUUGUAAAAGGGUACUGAGGAAGGUGGCUUUCUUUUCGGAGAAAGUGUUUAUAGCCUUGUGCCUCUGCAAUCGGAGAGAUUGAGGUCUGCAGCGUAGAUCCUUCGGGGUUAGAUACAUUUGUGCUAAGUUAUAGCUUUUCAUAGACAACUUGUUGACUAUGUUUAGUCUUGUAGCUUACUCGCUUAUGCUAUUUUACCUACGCUUAGGAUGUUGACGCAUGAGAUAUACGC